rnacentral:lncRNA from 1 species
CUCUAUCAUGGAGCUACAGCCCCAGCCCUUCUUUCAUUCCUUUUUAUAACAAAUCCUAACAUUUCUCUUAGGCAAAUGAAUGCAUCAGCCAGAUGAGGGCAAAACAAAAUCCUCAGAAAAGCAUGCAAACACAAAAACUUAUUGAACCAUUUUAAAAUAUUACCCAUAGCCAUCAGGGUUCCGGUAGAAAAACAGCUGGCCACUUGGAUUUAAAUUUUAUAAUUUGAGGAGAGUUUGAGAAAAGGACUAUCUACAUAGAUGAGGGCAAGUUAUAGAGAAGCCACAGGGACAGAGCAGCUUCCCGAGGCUGUAACUGGAACCAUUGUCUCCUGGGGUUGGAAAAGAAGGUUCUAGGCAAGAGCUGUGGAAAGGAACACCUGGCCUAUAAUUCCAGAAACUUGGGAGGCUGAAAUAGGAGGAUCACAAGUUUGAGGCCACCCUCAGCUACUUAGUAAAACCUGUCUCAAAAAAUAAAAGAACUAGUGAUGUAGCUUAGUGGUAAAGCAACUCUGUUUUCAAUCCCCAGCACAAAUAUAUAUAUAUAUAUAUAUAUAUAUAUAUAUAUAUAUAUAUAUAUAUAUAUAUAUAUAUAUAUAUUUAUUAUUAAUUCAAAUGACCCUCUAAUUGACAAAAUGUUGGAGUAGGCAAUUGUACAGAACUGGUCCUAUCUAGUUCCUAAUAAAAGAGGAGAAAGCUAGGUUGAUCCCAAGGGGGGAAAAACUCAAAUUGGCCAAAACUUGUCUUCUGAGCUUGCCAAGCACUUGCCUGCAGCACUUCUGAGGAAGGAGGGACCAAAAAAGGGUGAGGCCCAACCUCCCUGAAUCUGGGGCUCAGUCAUGAUGCUUCCUUGUGCCCUCUUCAACCUCUUUCUCUCCAGAGAUUGGCAGUGCUUCUCAGAGUGAAUGUGUGCAGUAUGAAACUUACUUCAAAGCCACAGAAAUUUUAUAAAAGUUACUAAUUCCACUAAAAUGUGCAUUGCCGACCCUUUUUGAAAUAAAGGACAAAAGGACUUGAGAAAAGUGCAUUGACUUUUCAAAGAUGAUAUAAUCUAGCUACUGGGUUCACGGUAUGUCAUUUUACCCUUGAUGCUGUGCUAUUACAAUAAUAAGGUAAUUAAGAGAGAAAACUAAAAUUCAGCAAAAAUUAAGACAAUAUGAGAUAGGAAGCUGAUUGAAAAAUGUAUGUUGGCAAUAUAUAUCUUUUAAAGUAUCAUCGCAAUUAUUAAUCAUUUAUAACUUCUCAUAACUCAUACUUAAAAGGAAAACAAGGUCAAGAAUAAGCUCGUGAAUUGGGCACAGUGGUGCAUGCCUAUAAUCCCAGCAGCUCCAGAGGCCAAGGCAGGAGGAUGGGGAGUUCAAAGCCAACCUCAGCAAAAACGAGGUGCUAAGCAACUCAGUGAGACCCUGUCUCUAAAUAAAACACAAAAUAGGGCUGGGGAUAUGGCUCAGUGGUUGAGAACCCCUGAGUUCAAUCCCAGUACCCCCCUAACAAAAGAAUAAGCCCAUGAUAUACUCUAUGCAUGUAUAAUAUGUCAAAAUACACUCUACUUGGGGUUAGGGUUGCAGCUUAGUGGUAGGGCACUUGCCUAGCCCAUGUGAGGCACUGGGUUUGAUUCUCAUCACCACAUAUAAAUAAAUAAAUAAUAAGGGUCCAUCAAUAACUAAAAAAAAUUUAAAAAGAUAUUCUACUGUAUCUAAAAAGAAAAAAAAAAAAAAGAAUAAGCCCAUGAUCACAGCCCUGAAACAAAACAAAAAACAAGGGCUGGUCGGCUUGACUCUACUCUUCAGCAACCAGCAGAAAGUUAGACAGUCAUUUUUCCUGUAUCACUGAAAACCAGUGUUAAAGAAAGAACAGAUUAAAAGACUGUCAGAUGGCUUUGGCUUGGGAAAGAUGGAGGCUGUCAUGUGAAGCCUAGGUGUAUAUAGGGUUGGGCUGCCAGGAGCCAUGGAGGUCCCAAUGGUAAGUCGAAUCAUCCUACACUGACCCCCUCCACUAAGCUGCCUGCUCAGUUUGCCCACUCUUAACUCAUGCAGGUAGAAGAGACAGAUCCCACCCAAGUGGCUACCACUGGAAUAUUGAUUCCUGGAACAAGUCACUAGGGGAUUCACUAUGAGUUCCUUUUGUGACUAGAGCUCACUUGCUGUUGACACAUGUCUAGUGACACUGCCUUGUGGGAGAGCCAAUGCCCAGCAAAUACCAAUGAACAGCCAGGUGGGAGAGAAGCUACAGUGUGACCCACUUUUUGAAGAGACAUUUACUCCAAUCUUGUGCUCAAUCCUGGUGCUAAUUGGAAGAGCUCAAGAUGAAAGCAGUUUCUCUUGGUGUCUCUUGGUAUCACUGGUGUUCCCUGAAGAAAUUCAGUGCAAGCCUCAGGGAGUGUUUCAGGAAGUAUGGAGCCGGCAAUAGCUAUAUCAGGAUUGCUAGAUGCAGAUUCCCAGGUCCUACCUCCCACUUGGUUCCCAAUCUCAAGAAGUAGGAACCAGGAAUCUGCAAGUUAGACAAUCUCGAAGGGUAGGUCUUGUUCAUACUAUUCCAUGGAUUGUGCAUUUAUUUUGUUAGACAUUUUUGUUGAGCCUAAUUGUCCAAAACAGCAAAUGGCUGGUAAAUCAUGGCACAUACCAAGUAACAGAAUUAUAUGAGUACACCAAAAGGAAUUCUGAGAGUUUAUAGCUGCUAAUAAAAACUGUCAGUGAUAGAAUGUUAAGAGGGCUGUCAGAAUGCAAAACAUGUUCACUUUGAUUACAAAGAUGUUAACAUAUAUAGGUACAUGUGCACAAACUAGAAAAAUAGGCAAAGUGAAAAUGUUUGUAUUGGAGAGGUAGAAUUUGUAAGUGAUUUUCCCCCGUCAAGAUUUGUGUAUACAAGAGAAUAAAAUAAAUAAUAAAAGAGAAUAAAAUCAUGGUAUUUGCAGGUAAAUGGAUGGCGUUGGAGAAGAUAAUGCUAAGUGAAGUUAGGCAAUCCCAGAAAACAAAUGCAGAAUGUUUACUCUGAUAUAAGGAGGCUGGGGUAAGGAGGGG